rnacentral:rRNA from 1 species
UACGUAGGGUGCAAGCGUUGUCCGGAAUUACUGGGCGUAAAGCGUGCGUAGGUGGUUUGUUAAGUCUGCUGUGAAAGCCCCCGGGCUCAACCUGGGAAUGGCAGUGGAUACUGGCAAGCUAGAGUGCGGUAGAGGGUAGUGGAAUUCCCGGUGUAGCGGUGAAAUGCGUAGAGAUCGGGAGGAACACCAGUGGCGAAGGCGGGUCUCUGG